CUCGCGCUACUGCUACCUGCUUCUUCGAGCUGCACGCCACAAGAAGUCCGCAUUACAUUUCUUUUAGCUGCUUCUUAGAAGCCUCACUAGAAGAUGGUCAACAAUGACUCUAUUCAGGCUCGGUGGACGACGGAAGCUCGGCAGAGGAUCAACGAUGAUAGACGUAACAAGUGGAUGUAUGAGUAAAAAUAAAUGUAAUGUAAUUGAAUGGCUAUUACAAUCAUAAUUGGAGUUUUUGUAUUUAAUUUUGUAUUUUAAGGCUAGAAUUUUCAUCUUUUCUGAAGAGAUGUGCCCGAAUCUAUGAUGCCAUGUCUUGAAAUCGAUGGCUGAAUUUGCUAGGAAAAUAUGGGGGGUGAAGAAGUAUAGUCCAUUUCUUGAUUCACCCUUGCCAAUCACUUUCUCGGAUUUGUUUUCUUGAAAUUCAAAACAAUGAUCAUCAAAAGUUACUUUAAUGUCAUUGUCUAGGGUUAAUUUGCUUAUAGCUAUGAGAUUAACCUUAAAUUCAGGAAUAUAUAAGACAUUUUUAAAGACUAGGAUUUCUGAAAUUUUAAUGCAUCCAACCACUUUAACUAUAAGUAUUUUGCCACUAGGUAUGGUGACAAAGGUAUUAUAUUUUUGAACUAAUGGUUUGGUGAAUAAAUGCAUGCUACCUGUCAUGUGUUGUGAUGCCCCGGUAUCCACUAUCCAUUUAUCAAUAUGUGAACUAGUGUUAAAUGAAAAUGAUAAAAAAUUACCUGAGUUGCUAUUGGCUUUUGUUGAAGAGAUUAGUUCUUUGCAAAGUUGGAUCUCUUCUUGACUAAGCACUAGUUGUUGCUGGUUGCAGGUGGAAGUGACCAGAUUUGCGGCAUCUGAAUUUUCAUUAUUCACUUUCUUUCCCUGAAAUUUCUUUUCAUCUUUGGGCCUCCCAACUAAGUGAUAACACUUAUCUCUAGUGUGACCAUAGUAUUUGCAGUUAUCAAAGUAGUACUUAGUGUCUAACUUCUUUCCAUUCUUGGAAUACAUGAUCUUUGAUUUAUCAGAAGUGUUCUUAUCUUUAGCAAAAAAUACGUAUUCUAUUUUUUCAUUGUUAUUGUCUCUAAACUUGAAUCUAUGUUUUUCU
rnacentral:lncRNA from 1 species